UACGGGGGGGGCAAGCGUUGUUCGGAAUUACUGGGCGUAAAGGGCUCGUAGGUGGCCAACUAAGUCAGACGUGAAAUCCCUCAGCUUAACUGGGGAACUGCGUCUGAUACUGGAUGGCUUGAGAUUGGGAGAGGGAUGCGGAAUUCCAAGUGUAGCGGUGAAAUGCGUAGAUAUCUGGAGGAACACCGGUGGCGAAGGCGGCAUCCUGGACCAACACUGACACUGAGGAGCGAAAGCCAGGGGAGCAAACGGG
rnacentral:rRNA from 1 species